UCUCCACGUCGGUUCGUAACACUGGCUUCGGCAUCGUCAACUUCUGCGGGCGGAUGGCUGGGAUCGCCUAUCCCUUCGUAGCGCUGCUGAAUACUGUGAGGAAAGAUCUUCAUUUCUUCGUGUUUGGAGCGCUCAUCACAUCAUCGGCGCUGCUGGACCUGCUGCUGCCGGAGACAAUGGGAAAGCCGCUGCCAAAGACAGUUGGGGAAAUGGUCGGAGAAGAGGUGGAAAUGUAUCAAGCCUUGCAGCUUGACGAACUGGAGGACGAUUAUGACAGCGAUAGGAAUGCAAUGAAACCAAAUCAAGACUGAACAAAGAACGUAGGUGUUUUUGCCACAACACAUACACCGCCGUUAGGUGUGCUCUUGGCAAUUUUGUUACAUCGACAUGCAUCUCGCUAUUGCAAGCAAUGUACUCGGUUGGCCACGUCCAUAUUUUUAUCAUCUGUCGUCUGUGACAAACUCUUAAACACUUCGGUGUUGCAAUUUUUUCCUGACUAAAUGAUUGCGGUGGGUGUGCGGAACAGUGGACAAGGCCCACAUGUGAUCUGUACUUCUCGUUACCCUAGAUGUCUUUAAAUGACAUCUGGCCCUUGUGUUAAAUCCUGAACAAAUCAUUGAUAUGCUUUAUCGACUGUAAGCCCAGUGCAGUGGAAAAUAUGAAGCUUGUUAACACGCGCUCAGCCUUUCAGCAACCAUAGGCGUCAUUUCAGAACUCGCAUGAAGUGUCCCCACGUAGAAAAGCGCAACGGAAUGCGGGAUUGCGAUGCGGCGGUUCGUUGGGUCAACAUUUGUUGUUUGCUGUUUUCUGUGAUAAACUGUCGAGAUGUACUGCACCAUUGGUACACCAUUGGA